GUGCUUAUCUUGAUAGCACUUAUACUAAAAAAUUGGAAUGAUAAGAGAAUAUUAGCAUGGCCCCUGUGCAAAGGUAACAUUCCCAUUCAUGAAGUAUUCGGUAUUUUU